GAACUGCGAUAAGUAAUGUGAAUUGCAGAAUUCAGUGAAUCAUCGAGUCUUUGAACGCACAUUGCGCCCCCGGGCAUUCCGGGGGGCAUGCCUGUCCGAGCGUCAUUGCUGCCCUUCAAGCCCGGCUUGUGUGUUGGGUCGUCGUCCCCCCCGGGGGACGGGCCCGAAAGGCAGCGGCGGCACCGUGUCCGGUCCUCGAGCGUAUGGGGCUUUGUCACCCGCUCGAUUAGGGCCGGCCGGGCGCCAGCCGGCGUCUCCAACCUUAUUUUUCUCAGGUUGACCUCGGAUCAGGUAGGGAUACCCGCUGAACUUAAGC
rnacentral:misc_RNA from 1 species